rnacentral:rRNA from 1 species
AUUGAACGCUGGCGGCAGGCCUAACACAUGCAAGUCGAGCGGCGCGGCGGACGGGUGAGUAAUGCCUAGGAAUCUCCCUGGUAGUGGUGGAUAACGUCCGGAGACGGGCGCUAAUACCGCAUACUAUCAGAUGAGGCUAGGUCGUAUUAGCUAGUUGGUGGGGUAAAGGCCUACCAAGGCGCCGCUCCGUAACUGGUCUGAGAGGAUGAUCAGUCACACUGGAACUGAGACACGGUCCAGACGCCUACGGGAGGCAGCAGGGGGGAAUAUUGGACAAUGGGCGAAAGCCUGAUGCAGCCAUGCCGCGUGUGUGAAGAAGGUCUUCGGAUUGUAAAGCACUUUCAGUUGGGAGGCGUUACCAACAGAAUAAGCACCGGCUAACUUCGUGCCAGCAGCCGCGGUAAUUC